CCUACGGGAGGCAGCAGUGGGGAAUCUUGCACAAUGGAGGAAACUCUGAUGCAGCGAUGCCGCGUGAGUGAAGAAGGCCUUUGGGUUGUAAAGCUCUUUUGUAGGGGAAGAUAAUGACUGUACCCUAAGAAUAAGGUCCGGCUAACUUCGUGCCAGCAGCCGCGGUAAUACGAAGGGACCUAGCGUAGUUCGGAAUUACUGGGCGUAAAGCGCGCGUAGGCCGUUGAGUUAGUUAAUUGUGAAAUCCCAAAGCUUAACUUUGGAACUGCAAUUAAAACUGCUCGACUAGAGUUUGAUAGAGGAAAGCGGAAUACAUAGUGUAGAGGUGAAAUUCGUAGAUAUUAUGUAGAACACCAGUUGCGAAGGCGGCUUUCUGGAUCAACACUGACGCUGAGGCGCGAAAGUAUGGGUAGCAAAGAGGAUUAGAUACCCUCGUAGUCCAUACCAUAAACGAUGAUUGCUAGAUGUUGGAAAUUUAUUUUCAGUAUCGCAGCUAACGCAUUAAGCAAUCCGCCUGGGGAUACGACCGCAAGGUUAAAACUCAAAAGUGUAUACGCGNGNGAGAGCGACGACGACGACGACGAGGAGAG
rnacentral:rRNA from 1 species